AUACUUACCUGGUACGGGAGGUGACCGUUCUCAGCAUCGGUUCUCCCAGGGUGAGGCCUUUCUAUUGCACCUUGGCUUGGCUGACCCCUGCGAUCACCGCCAAAUAGGGGUGACUCGUGUACGUAAUUUAUAAGUGGAGGGGUGUGCGUCCGCGCUAACCCCUG
rnacentral:snRNA from 1 species